UUCCAAUUUCUCAUCACUUCUUGUACUCGGACCAGGAAUAACGAAACGUCGCUAUCAUGCGGUAAAGGCUGUAAAUACAAAUUUGGUCAUAAAAAGUUCUUUUACUGUGGACGGAAAACACUCAACACACACACUCACUAAUCCCUGACGGCACUUUUCACAAAACAUUUCGAGGUUUGGAUUUGGAUGAUGGAUGGGAUAGAUGGAUUAUGAAUACAUAUAUUUUUAAACGCUUCGCAAAAACAAAAACGCAACAGUUUAAUGAUCGAUGCAAGUACCAAGACUUUAUAGAUAUGCACACAAAGAGAGAGUGAGAUAGACAAAGGAGGGAGGGGUGUGGUGUGGGUGGGUU